CCUACGGGAGACAGCAGUGGGGGAUAUUGCACAAUGGGGGAAACCCUGAUGCAGCGACGCCGCGUGGGUGAAGAAGCGCCUCGGCGCGUAAAGCCCUGUCAGCAGGGAAGAAAAUGACGGUACCUGAAGAAGAAGCCCCGGCUAACUACGUGCCAGCAGCCGCGGUAAUACGUAGGGGGCCAGCGUUAUCCGGAUUUACUGGGUGUAAAGGGGGCGCAGACGGCGUUGCAAGCCAGGAGUGAAAGCCCGGGGCCCAACCCCGGGCCUGCUCUUGGAACUGCGUGGCUAGAGUGCAGGAGGGGCAGGCGGAAUUCCUGGUGUAGCGGUGAAAUGCGUAGAUAUCAGGAGGAACACCGGUGGCGAAGGCGGCCUGCUGGACUGCAACUGACGUUGAGGCCCGAAAGCGUGGGGAGCAAACAGGAUUAGAUACCCUUGUAGUC
rnacentral:rRNA from 1 species